UGUGAGUAGUUGGGGGAGGGGGCGCGGCGGGAAGGGCAAGGGGUAGGGCUGGCUCCUGGGCGAGACGCCGAGGGGGGCCGAGGUGUUUUCUCCCCCGCCACAGGCACGCAGCGAGGGAGGAGGCUGGCGGGAAGCCUGGCCGGCGCGCGGCGCGGGGAAUCGAUGACUCGGCCUAUGGGCACGGCCACCUGGGUGAGGGACAGCGAAGGGGGCGGCGGAGCACCGAUAUCAUGGAUGGGCUCCGAGGGGCUGCGGGAGGGGCACGUCAAUGUUCGGGGCCGUUUUGGCGGCUAGGCGGGAUUGGCCGGAGCUGCAGUACUCGCGCUCGCCUCGCCGACCGCCAUUUCACAUCCUGUAAAGAAGGCGGGGGGAGCCGCGGAGACAAUUUUUCACAAGGUAAGAGAACCCGCCUGCCGGAGGAGGGAGGCGCGGCACACAGAUCUCGUGCCGCUGCGGCCUCGCGGGAGGGCGGGUGGCGAAACGGGCGGGGCCGGGCGCGGGCUCAGCCGGCCCUUCUCAGGUAACGGCGCGGCUCCGCGCUAGACCCUGGGGAAGCGCGCGAGGGGCGGGGGCGCGCGAGCGCGGGUUUCGGCCCAUAGAAGGACCGCCGCCGCGCUCCCCCUUCGUGCCCCCUCAUCUGUGCCUGCUGCAAUGUCUGUGCCUGGCCAGUUAAUGAGAUUUAUUCACGCACAGUUCUGCCCAGCUUUGCCUGGGGUUGGCCGAUCCUGUACACAGGGAUUUCCCACCACCGUGCUUUCUCCCGCCCCUUGCCUUCCCUCUCGCCCUAGAAUAUCCUUGGUUUCCUCCUCUACGCGCCUGGCUGCGUCCCGGGCACGCGCAAGUACAUGUAAGGACUUGUCAGCUCCCAGUGACCUCCCUCCACUCCUCCCCUGGCGGAAUGAGGAUUAAGAGCCUUUCAAGAGAAAAUUUUGGCCAAAGAAAAAGGCCCGUGAAAGUCACCGCGUUAGAUAUGGAUUCUCAGUGUUAUUCAUUAACACGUUGUGCAAGGUUUUACUACCGAUGGCGUAAAGGCAAAAAAGAGGGGAAGGACCGAUAUACAAAACAACUUUAUUCAAAAAUCGAGAGAGGAUGAAGCGAUGCAGUUAGGGAAUAAAAAGAGUUGCUGUUGGGUUGCCUCUUAAGUUGAAACCGAUGUGUUUUGUCUGGCUUGUUCACUGAUAUUGGGCGUGACCUUGGACAAAUGAUUUGGUUUCUGUGUCUUUUUUCUCGAAUGUUCAACGAGAGGGUUUCUCGUAGAAUCUACACCUUAAGGAUUUCUUCCCCCAAAAACGAUUUAAGCGAUGGGAGACAGAAGCCACGAUUUUACGUUCGAAUUUUGCCACCAAAUUAGGAUUCUUGGCAGUCGUUUUCAGUCUUUCAAAAAUAAAGAUCAUUUUUUCACGCUUAUGUAUUAUACAGGUGCAUUUUACUGGUUACUGAGAGCUUCUCAUUUGGAACCAUUGUGGGUCUUCAAAUAGAAAAAUCCAAGGCUCAAAGGGACAGGUCGCUAAACGAAACUGUCUGUAAAUUCCACAACAUACAAAUGCUAAUAAGAACUUAUGCUUGAAGGGAUUUGAGACUGAUUAACCCAGAGUAAAUUAGCCUGCAGUUCUUAACCUCAGAGCAUCAUUAUAAACAUAGGUGACAAGAUUGCUACUAAUAUACAGGAAAUUACCUAAUAACAGUUUGAGGAGGCAAAAUCUCUUAAAAUUGAUUUGAAGUUUUAGGAGCCUACAGAAGUGAUUAAAAAAUGUGAUUAUCAUGUGCGAAGCCCUGUUUGAUCCCUAGCACCGCCCCCCCAAAAUUGUCUAUAUUCUAGUAUGCAUUUUUUUGAUUAAUAUUAUGUUUAGCUCAUUGUCAGAUGCACAAUACAAAUGAUUCUCAUGGAGUUCUGUGGAACCUAGGGUAUUCUAUAAAAUGUAAUAUUUUGGUCCUUACUGAAUUACAUUUUGGGGGGUGGAGUCUGAAAAUCUGUAUUGUUAGCAAUCCUAUCAGCCACACCCAUGUUUCUUAGCAACAUAAAAUUAAGAACCUAUGUAUCAUAAUAAGUAUAUUCAUAAUUUUUAUACUAUUCCUAAAUGAACAAAAAAAAUCUCACAGUUUAGCUGUUUCUAGGUUUCUAUCACCUUACCUCUUGAAUUUACUUUAAGAAAAGGCAAUUUCAACCUUGGAGUUUUCUAGAACUCCAAGGAAAGAAUGUUCACUCUUAAAAACAUUUGCAGCAUGAAUGUUAGGAAUACUGUAUGUCUUGGGUGUAAUUUAGUUUAAGUUGAUGCUCAAAUUGAAAACCUGACAUCAGUCCUGUAAUUGGCCACUCUUAAUUGUGUUUUAUAAACAUACUCUUCCUGAAGUAAGAAAGAGUCCUAAAAUUUUGAGUCUAAGAUACAAAAUUUAAACCUUUCUUGCUAAAUUAGUUUGUCAGAUUAGUUUGUCAGAUUUUUCGUGGGUGAAAAUUCACAUUUGGAAGUCUAACUCCUCUAAAAACAAUAAAAGUCACCUGAAAUUACCUUGUCUAUACAUAUGAGAAAUGCCAAAGUUGAACUCUUUUAAUAUUCUUAAUGCUUUUUUUCCCCUCAUUUUUUUGGAUUGGCUAUUAUUUGCUAAAUAAUUUGAGAUAUGGAGAGAAACAAAAGAGACAUGGAUUUUAUAGUUUUAUAGUUCUGCAUCAGAAAAAUGUACUUUUUAUCCUCAUGGAUUUUAUAGUUCUGCAUCAGAAAAAUGUACUUAAAACAUUUCAAUUAACAUUUUCUUCAUUCUUCUAGUUCACUGACCUAUACUCAUGCCUUUACUAAAAAAGCCUGCUCUGUGUUCUGUACCAAUAUUGUUUAACUAACAUCUGGCGAUUGGCAAUUUAUGAACUAGAAUAUAAAGCAAUGCUGUAAUCCCAGCUAUUGGGGAGGCUGAGAAAGGAGAAUCACAAGUUAGAGGUCAGUCUGGGCAACUUAGCAAGACCCUGUCUCAAAAUAAAAAAGGCUGGAGAUGUAGCUGAAUAGUAGAGCAUUUGCCUGGCAUGGGCAAGGCCCUGGGUUCAAUUCCUAGUACUGUUUUUUUUUUUUUUUUGUUUUUUUUUAAAGGCCAUAGUUUUGCAACAGAUACUAUAAGAUGGCUUAUUCAAUACACAUCCUUUAUCUUCUUUAUCUUGUUUUUCUGUACUUUAGAAUCUGGAAAAUAAAAAACUACUGUUUCCCAGACUCCCUUGCAGCUAGAAUGUUGCCAUGAGAUUAGUUGUAUGCUGGUAAAUGUUUAACAACAGCUGGGGAAGGGAGGAUCCUAAUCUGUAACAUUGGCUACAAAUUUUCAUAGUAAUCAAAGCUACUAAUGUGACUUCACUGAAUGUGAGUUAGUUGAAAAUGAUGCUAACCAGAAGCUAGCUUUUAUGGCUUAGUUUCCAACAAUCAGAUGUACCCAUUCAAGAUAUAUUUGUGAGCUGAGUGCAGAUGUACAUGCCUGUAACCCCAGAAACUCAGGAGGCUGAAGAAUGAGGUUGCAAGUUUGAGGCCAGCCUGGCCAACACAGCAAGACCAUGUCUCAAAAUGAAAAGAGCUGGUAAAGUUCCCCUAGGUUAAAUCCCCAGUAGAAAACAACAACAAUAAAACACUGAAAGAGAAGUGUUUGUGAAAGUGAACAACAUGAUACACUUCAACUAUACUUAGAAGACAGGAUCUUCUGGCAAACACCAUGGUGAUGUCUGGUUCUUCUAGGUAGCUAGGGAGGAGUUGUAGCAUCUCACUUUGGAGUCAUAGAUACUGACUGCCAAUUGAUGCUGGGUUUCGUGGGAUGGGUAUUCCUCCUGGCUUGAUUUUUUUCCUAGAUGUUUCUAGCUAUGAUUCCCUGGCUCUGUAAGAGAUGUGUGAGCUAAAUAAUAUCCAUUAAUCCCUUGCUACUUAAACUAACCCAGUCAUGUCCAGCUACAUAAUUUGUGGGCUUCAGAGCUAACUGAAAAUGUAGGGCCACUUGUUCAAAAGGCAGGAAAAAGGUGCCAUUUUCUACCCUAAAAUAUCUAGCUUUUUUUCUCUUCUCCCCUUCUAGUUAUAGUGUUUUAAUGUGCUUUUUUAAUGUCAAUGUAAGUAAAAAACUUAAACUUUUAAAUUCUUAGGAUAAAUUUUACCAUUCAUCUUUAUAUUAUGCAAUGCCAUUUUAAAGGGCAAAUACGAGAGCAUUUCACUCAUACAAAAUUUCACUCACCAAAAUACACAAUUGGUGUUUCGUAGCUUAUUCAUUCAGAUGUAUUCUUUUGCUACCAGAACAAUGUGAACUCUGCACAAAACUAACUCAAUUAUUUUUAUUUUACUUCUUCAUAUGCACAAUUCUACUUCUAGUUAUUACUACCUUCUACUUACUAAUGAGCAAGAAAAGAAUGAAAGGAAAGAACCCUAGGUUGCUUGCUCUUUCUUUCUUUUUCUUUGUUUCUCUAAUUAUCUUCAGUGUAAAUGAUUGGCUGCCGCAGUCUGGCUGGGCACAAUCAGGAGCCACUUGUCAAAAGAAACUAACUUUAUUUUUAGAACCACACACGCCAAACAAAACAGCCUCUCAGGAAAAACCCUCAGAGCCUCAACUGCCACCACCGGCUUUCCACAAGCCUCUCUCUCCCACACAAGCUUCUCUCCACCUCCCACAAUCCUCCUGCUCUUGAGGCCGAUUGGCUGGGUCACGUGGGCGGAGCCAAAAAAGUCCCCCAAUGAGCAGCUCCGUGGUCUGAAAGGGCAGGGAAACAGCCCAAUGAGCAUCACCCCAGAGGAGCCAAUCAGCUAGAUGUUGCUGGGGCCGAGGAGCCAAUCAGCUAGAUGUUGCUGGGGCGGCUGUGAGCCAAUCAUCAGCCGGCAGCUGGAAGUUUGCUGGGGCCCCUUCGGCUGUGGCUCUCAACAAUUGGCUAAUAUAGAGAAGUAACCCAUGAGUAAGAAAGGAUAUAAUUGAAUAUUUUUGUUCAUUUGUAUCUCUUGGCAUACUGUGGCCUUCUUUCUGCACCUAAAGCAAGUUCUGGUUCUUAUGGAGAGCAUAGCUUUUUGGAACUGUCUGCACCUCUAGUAACUCAGUCAUAAAUAUUACAUGCUUUUCUUGUACCCACUUUGUGGCUCUCUGAGUUCCUACACCUCAUAAGUCCACCAGAAUCCUGCUGUUAUGUGGCAUCAUAAAGACUAUAUGCAAAGGGGGAGGCAAGGAUGAAAAGAUGCAUAUAAUCUCUAUUUGUAUGUUUUAUUGUACCACUGCUCUUCACUUAUAAAACAGACAUUCAAACAAAAACUAGAAAGUUUCAAGAUGGUGACUAAUGAACAUUAAAUCAAGCACUGGGCCCUGUGUGGCUGCACAGGUUGCCUGCCCAUGAAGUUGGCCCUGAUCUCCGAGUUUCUCAAGGGACCUUCUGACAUUUUGGUGAAACAGUUCUCCAUACAGGACAUUACAUCCACAUUCAUGUUGCCUGGGCACUACAUUACUACUGUGACAAUCAGAAAUGUCCAAUAAUUUCUAAAUGCAAAAAAGGAAGAGUUACUGCUCUCUACUGAUCUAGAGUGGAAUCCACUGUAGCUAUGAACCAUGACAACUACAGAUGUGAGAAAGGCCCUCUCCAGUUUUCAUUAGCAAUUCUGAAGCAGAAUAAAAAUACAACAGAGCUGAGUUUAAAGGAUUUCUAAUUCUCAUGCCCAGGACAGCAGAAUUAUGAUGAUCUUGCCUCCCUCCAUUGUCAGAGAAAUAAUACCACCUACAUUGAUAGUGAAACAAAUUCUUGGGAUAAACAUUUAAAGGUAAUUCAUGAGUUUUAUGUGUUUGUGAUGUUGUGAUAUAGAUAUAUAGCUAUAGAUAUAGACUGGCCACCAGAAUGAUCAAAGCAGGAUUAGAGGGUUGAGACUUUCAGUCCCAUCCUCCAACUUCUGGGUAGUGGUGAGGGGCUGGACAUUGACUAGAGCACCAAUGGUCAGUGAUUUAAUGGUCAUACCAGUUUAAUAAAGCCUCUAUAAAAAGGAUAGGACAGAGGACUUCCCAAGAGCUUAACACAUGUAGGUUCCUGAGUGGUGAGGUGCCCAGAGGGCUUGGAAGCCUCAUACCCUUUCAACCAUAUCUUGCCUUAUUCAUCUCUUCAUCUGAUGUACACCAGUAUCCUUUGUAAUAAAUCCCUUAUAAUAAAUUGGUGAACCUACAUGUUUCCUCAAGUUCUGCAAGCCACUCUAGGACAUUAAUUGAACCCAAAGAAGAACUUAAAGCCAGUCAACAAUACAAGUACAACAACCUGAAUCUUGCUAUUGGCCACUGAAGGGCAAUGGUGUAAGAGUUGCAGUCUUGGUGGCUGAGCCCUCACCUGUGGCAUCUUAUACUACCUCCAGGUAGAUAGUGUCAGAAUUGAAUUGAAUUAGAGGAUACCCUGUUGGGGUCCUCUGCUUGCUAGGCGGUUGGGGAAAAAUCCCUACACAUCUGGUGUCAAGUGUGUUAUGAGAGAACAGGAAAAAGUGAGUUUGUUUUUUCUGCUCUGUAAAAGGAGUUUAUUCUAGAUGGCAAUUUCUGAUAAUUUUUUUUUAAGUAUUUAUAUGUAUCUAUAGAGAAGAGGGAAGCAGAUAACCACAGAGCAGCAGAGUAUCAUCUUAACUUCAUCAGUUGUAACUUCAUCAGUUGGCGGAAAGGGAAGAAAGGCCCCUAGGAAACACUAAGGAAGUUGCCAUAGUGAACUAUGAUGCUUUUACUAUGUUAGAUUUUAAACUUUAUUUCGUUGUAUCUCUAUUUUUUUAAGUUUAGUUCUUGAUUUAAGAACAUGAACAUUGUAGCAUGUUACAGGUGAAACAAGAUAUCCCAAAUUAUUCUGUUUGCUUUAAACUAUAAGCCUCAUAGGGAUUUAAAGAGCAAGCUCCAUAAACCUGGCCCUGCCUUUGAUAACGGUGAACCUUAGUUUCUAUGAACCUCAGUUUUCUCUUCAAUAAAACAGGGACAAUAGUAUACUUACCUUAGUUUCUUAAGUCAUUUCACCAAAAGCCAAUUCACUAAAGUACCAAGAAUACAAUUAUUAAGUACAUUCAAGAUGAAUAUUACCUAAAACAAGUUAGCUUUGGCAAAUUGGACAGUUUUUCAUUCCUAGUAAGGAUAGUAUAAAGAUCAAAUGAAGUAGUAAGUAAAUAAAUAAGUGAAUAAAUAAGUAAAUAAAUGUUUAGCAAAAUUCUUGGUAAAUCUUAGCUAUAAUUUCCUCACCAUGCAAAUUUCAAGUCCUGCCCAUUCUCUCUUCAGAAAAUUCACAAUUCCUGUUCACAUAAUCAUUGUUUUGUUGAAGGCUUUCACUACCUUUUAGAUUUCCUAUUGUAAUAGUCACUUAAUUGGCUUAUUCUCCUCCAGUCUUAUUGUACACACUACUUCCAAGGUGAUCUGUCUACCACUUAUCAUCUACAAUAAAAGAAAGGAAGGAAAGGAAAAGGGAAGGGAAGAAAUAUAAGCCUCGUGAUUUGGUCUAAAUAUUCAGCAUCAUCUCUUUUCCCCUUUUUCAUUUAUCUUCCAGCCCACUAAAUACUUAGUUUCCUUAUCAUGCAAUUCUUUUCCAAGAAGCAACAAAUCUGUAGGUUUGCAUUGCUUUUUCUUUUUUUUUUUUUUAACAUUUUUUAGUUGUUGAUAGAUCUUUAUUUUUAUUUAUUUAUAUGUAGUGCUGAGAAUCUAACCUAGUGCCUCACACAUGUCAGGCAAGUGUGCUACCACUGAGCCCCAGCCCUAGCCCCUGCAUUUCUAAUAAAUAUUUUUCCUCCUCUUUUGGUAAAAUUCUUACUCACCUUUCAAGUUUUAGCCAAAAUGCUACUUCCUUGUAAAGAUUUCCUUGAUUUCCUCAAGCAGAUUUAGGUAUUAUUUGAGGGCUUCCAAUGGCCUUUUUGUGCCUACUUCUAUUCUAAUGCUUACAUUAUUGUAGUUGUUUGUUACUUUGUAAUUCUAAUAGACUGUUAUGUCCUAGAAGAAGAGGACUGUGUCUUUUCAUCAUUUAUGUCCUAGCUCAAGGAUAGUGCCUAGCAUGUAAGUCCUUGACAUUUACUGAAUUAAAAAAUCAAUUACAAACCUCUCUCUACCACACUUCCAUUUUACAAAUCAGCAAACUGAGGCCCAAAUAAAUAAAGCUAUUGAGAAUCAAUGCCUCCUAACUCCAAAUCUAUAACUUUUAAUGCUAUACCAUAGAGAAUCUUCUCAGUAACAUCUGCAUUCCAGUCAUUUCUAUUGUAGGAAACUGCCUAUUUUAUCAUUUUUUCCAUUUGUCUCUAAUGUAGGGAAUAGGUAGAAGGACAGUGAUUUGAUAAGAUUUGUAUUUCCUUCCUUAUUCAGUCAGGGUUUUUAUUUGUUUUCUAGUACAUUCAGUAAAAUUCAAGGUAAAUUAUUCUUUGUGUCAUCCUUUUCUCACAGAAGUUGGUUUCUUUACUACCAGAGGAUCAAUGUUUCAUGCAUUUAUUCCAAUGAUUCUCAGGCAGGAGUGAUUUUGCCCCCCAGUGCACAUUUGUCAAAAUGGAGACAUUUUUGAUGAUCAUAUCUGAGGCAGUGCUACUGGCAUCUAGUAGGUAAGAGGUCAGGAAUACAGCUAAACUUCUUACAAUGCCUGCAACAUAAAAGAAUUAUCUGAUUCAAAGUGUCAGUCAUGCAGAAGUUGAUCUAGUCUACAGGAAAUUUUUACCCAGCCCUUCAUCCAAUGUUUUGCCUUUAUGAGAUGAUGAUGGAAAAGAACUCCUUCCCAGAGAGAUGUGGAAAUCCAAAGUAAGUAUAGCAAACCUUGGAGGCAAUUGCUGUCAACUAUACCCAGGUCCCAAAAGGCUUAAUGCAGGUUUCCCCAAUUUAGUCACAGCACCUGCUUGGGUACAAGGUAAGGAGAUAAAUAUUUAUUGCUUACUUAAUAAAGUAUUUGUGACCAAAGAAUAAGGUUUUAUUUCUCUGUUUAAACUAAAGUCAAAUUAAUAGUAUGGUGAAAUGAAUUUCCUGAACAAAGAUCUUUUCUCUGUUAUCUCUUUAACCAAUUAAUCUACUCAGUUACUAGAAGAAGCAAAAUUUUCUUAAACAAUUCUCCCUUUUCUGUAAAUUAGCAGUGAGAGUCUUAAGGGAGAGACCUUGAGCCAGUAAAAGAUAAUGUGUGAGGGCUGGGGCUAGGGCUCGGCAGCAGAGUGCUUGCCUUAUACUUGUGAGGCACUGGGUCUGAGUCUCAGCACCACAUAAAAAUAAACAAACAAAGGUAUUGUGUCCAUCUACAACUAAAACGUGUGUGUGUGUGUGUGUAUACGUAUAUAUAUAUUCAUUAAAAAAAAGAUAAUGUGAGGAAAAAAUAAAUAAAAGAAGCUUUCAGAAUAGAGUAAUAACCUGAUGCCUUAGAUCUCUAAGACUCAUUUAAAUUAUAUAUCCAGAGUUGAUAUUGAUAUUGAUAUUCUGAUGGAUUAUAGACCGUCAAGAAGAGACCAAACAUACAUAAAGUAAGAAGAGAUUAAAUUCUCAAAUUGGUACAAAAUCUACAAAGCAAAGUGACUAUCUGGAGCAGCAUCUCUCAAGGUAGUUUCUUCUGGCCCCAAAGUCCCUGACACACUUUUAUGUUCACAACUUAAAUCAAACUCCAGAAAAACUUACACUAAUAAUUUUUGUUAUUGACACUGAACUCUCCUGCGUUUGAAGUUUGUAAAGGUUUCCUUGAAUUCCCCAGGCAGAUUUAGGUAUUACUUUGAACUUUUCGCUUAUCUUUGUGUGCAUACUUCUAUUCUAAUACGUAUACUAUUGUAGUUAUUUGUUAGUCUGUAAUUCUAAUAGACUGUUAUCUCCUUGAAGAAAGGAGAUAUGUCUUUUCAUCUUUUAUAUCCUAGUUUAUGCUACAUCCUCAUCCCAGAGACAAGGAAACAAUAUUCUCAGAUCUAUAUGCAGAUCAUUACUUUUAUUUCCUUAUUUUCUCAAUAAAAUGCAUUUUUCCAACAUUAAGUUUUAAAUGUGUAACAUAGAAAAUAUGAAAACCCAUCAGAAAGUAUGGAAUAUUCAGUGCCACCCAAAAGCAGUCUGAUUAACACUUUAGUCCAAUCUUUUAUAGAAAAAAAUUUCCAUAAAUAUAUUACAUAGUGGAAAUAAUGUCCUAGUUUUUCCACUUUGCAUUAUAGCAGAAGUUUCCCAUGCAAAUUAAAACUUUUCAUAUACAUUAUUUUAAUGACUGCAUGUGCUGUGCUGCAAACAUAGAACAGUUUACCUAACCUUUUUCCUACUCAACUGUUAGAUAGUAGCAGAAUGGUUCAAACUUUACAUUUUUAUAAAUAUCAUACUAAGAAUGUUUUGGUUGAAAAUGUUGCUUCAUUUAGGAUGUUAACUUUAAUAUUUUAAGAAACUUACUCUGUAGUUGAUUAUUUGACAAGAACACUAGUUACCGGUAUAUACCGUGUGUCUUCUCUACCGGAGAGAGAAUUAUGUGUGCUAUUCUUUAUCUGCUUGGUUUGCCCUUUCUUUCCCAUCUCUUUUUGUCCAAUUACCUCAUUCUUAAGAUCUCAGCUCAAAGGUCACUUCUUUAGUGAAGCCUUCCCAACUGUUCAGUAUUUGAUUAUUUGCCCUAAUUGUUAUAUCUAAUUAUACUGUUUACAUUUUCCAUAGUAAAUACUCUGAUUGUAAUAAUCCAUUUAUUUGCAUGUUAUUUGCUUCCUUUGGACUACAAUAAUACAAUCACUAUAUGGAUAAGAAGAGAUUAUAAUUUUAUAAUAUAAACAUAGGCCAAUUCAUAUGAUCCUGUGUGUAUCAUUGUAACAAGAUGGGUUAAAGCUUGAGAUUGAAAUAUAGUUAGUCAAAAAAUAUUUGUGUGUCACACAUUAUAUUAAGUGCUGGGAAUAUAGAAGUGAAAAACACAAGCACAAUUUUAGCCUUCUGGAGCUUCUAGUCUAGUGCAGAGGUUAACAAACUUUCUAUUAACAGACAGAUAAUGAAUAUUUUAAGCUUCCCAGGCCAUGUGGUCUCUCUUAAAAGUACUUAACUUUGCUUUUGAGACGCAACAUCAUUCAUAGACCAUAUAUAAACAAGACUGUGGCUAUGUUUUGUUUUGUUUUUGAGACAGGGUCACUUAGUUGCUGAGGCUGGCUUCGAAAUUGUGAUCCUCCUGCCUCAGCCUCUCAAGUUGCUGGGAUUACAAACAUGUUCCACCAUGCACUGCUUCCAAUAAAACUGUAUUUUAAAAAUAGGCUCUGGGCUGGAUUUGAUCAUGAAUCAUGGUGUACCUGACCCCUGUUCUAAUGAACAAUAUAGCCACUAAACAGAUUAUUUGAAAUGAUGAUUACUUAAAAGGACAGGGUAAAUAAAGACCCAUGGCAUAAUUGCCUAAUCUAGUCUAGGGAGACAAAUAAAAGUUUCUUUGAGGAAAAUGACUUUAGAUUUGAGGAAGAGAAAUUAUCCAAAUGAAAGUAGGGGUACCAGGCUUAGUGAAGAUCCAAAGCAUGAAAAAAACAUGAGUUAGAAAUUCAUUCCUAAGCUUCAUGAUUAUCAGAGAGAGCUAGAUGGAUUUGUUAAAGUAUAGCAUAUUGAGUGAAAAGAUAGACCCAGAGCACUCAAGAAUUUUCAGAACCUAGUACUUCCCUAGAAGAGAAAAUGCUACCAAGAGAGACUCGAAAGGAACCACCAGUGAGAAGUAGCAGGAGGAGAAAGUUUAAGACUUUGCAGAAUCCUCUAGCCUGCUUUUCCAUUUGGCCUGGAUAUUUAUGGAUGUGUGGAAUGUAGGUUGGAAAAUAUUAGCCUAAAGGUUCUAAGAUACUCAGAGAAUUGACAGUUUCUGAAGGGUAAGAUAGAUAGGUAGAUAUCUAAUAUAUAUAUUAGAGAGGGAGAGAGAAUAGAGCUGAGGGGCGAGCAGGAGUGGUAGUGUUGAGAAAGAAGAGGUAAUAAAAUAAUCAGAUAAGUAGUAGUGAGAAACACGUUGCUGGUACAUAAUAGGUGCUUAAUAAUUUUUUGAUAAAUGUAUGAAAGGAUAACAAUAUAAUGUGAGAUCAAAUAAACUAAGAAGGAAAGCAUUUCAAUAACAGGUUGGUCAAUAGUUUUGAAUACUUAAGAGGCUCAAGGUUGAUUUCCUUGGCUGUCUGAGAAAAAAUGCAGAUCAUUCCCCCAUGACCCCUUGAUGCAUGCCCUUGCACAGGAGCCUGACUUCCUGUUCCUGCCUCUAGCAAAACCUGACCUCACUCUUUUCUUCCCUAAGGAUUUUAGUGACUUGGAAGAGGUACCCUCUUAUGUCAGUAUAUAUGCAAUAUGAAAAUAUUAUAAACUUAGAAUAGGAACAAGAUUCUUAUAGCCAUUCAUAAGGUUUCAUAAAUUAUAAUGAUACCAGCUCAACUGUUUUUUCAUCUCUCAUAUUAAAAAUGCAUUUUAUUACUUCUAAGCAUUUUGUAUUAUUAGCUUUUUAUUAACUUAGUAGUAUUUCUAAAGUCCUGUGUUAGAUGCUGUGGGUGAUUUUUUUUUUUUUAAGGAAAAAAAAAACAUGGCUCUGGUCUCAAGCAUUAUGUAAUUGACCAAUAAGUUGUAAGUUUCUCAACAUUAGGAAUCAUAUUUCGCAUUUUUUUCCUUGCAUAGUACCAGACAUAUUGUGGUUGGUACUACAGAAACAAUUGUUCCCUGCCCUCUGCAUUUUACCAUUUGGUAAGCAAAUGGUGUCCAUCUAGCCACUUCUGAAUGACACAAAUAAAACAUGCAACUAUCUGAGGCAGACAGUGAUAUUCUGAAGCCAUCAGUAACAGCAAUUUUCAGCUUGUUGAAGGUGGAGGUUCUUUGGGUAAAGGCCAGCCUGUCAGGAAAUAAUAUGCCACCCUGUUCUUUCAAGAUUAUAAAAAAACCUUUCUAUAUCUGUUUUUACACUUAAAAAAAAAAAAAGUUGUACAAAUCACCCAAUGGUCUCACCAGAUGUUUUCAAAUCAGAACUGGGGCAAUUGAGUUGUAAUUUAUUUUCAGAAAUUCACAAGAGCAGGAGCUGAGAUUUUUCUUGCCUGAAUUAGCAGGUGAUUUCAUUCUCCAUUCAUGUUUAGCAGAGAAAAUCUAGCCUCAGGAUGAAAAUGUGAAACAGAAGUUCUUGGCAAAUCUGAAAAGUGGAACAGAGAUUUAGUCUUAUGAAUGAAGGGAAACAAUACUCGUUUUUAUUAAGCAGCUGCUUAUUUCAGCAUUAGAACUAUUUUUACACUGAAAGGUCAUAGAGAAAGGAGGAUCCCCAUUCUAACCUGUUCCCCUAUACUAAGCAUAUCCAAAAGUUUUUAAUUGAUUACAAAUUACUUAAUUUGGCAUUUGGCUUAUAUUCUUCCUUCUUUACUUUAAUUCCUACACUCAUCCUGAGUGAAUUAUCACCAAGUAGACAUAUAAUGCUGCUGGGAAGGAGAUGUUAUACCAUGUGAUGUAUUAGUGUCUAUUAUCUGAACCUUAUACCCUGUAAGCCAAAGUAUUGUAUCAUAAAUUCUCCCUUGUAUUCCCCAAAUUAGAAGUUCUGUGACGUGCUCAUCUCCAGUGAUCUCUGCUUCCCUUCAUUCACUUACUUCUAUUACCACACCCUAGAUCUUGUCAUACAUCCAGUCUGUUUCACCUAUAGCUUCAUAAAUGCAAAUUUCAGUUGUUUGGCCAGAACUUUCAUCCUACUCUAUCAAUAUUUUCCCAGUACAACCAUACUUAGAACACUCCAGUGUUCUUCCCUACUCUUUGUCACUCUGUCACCUUUCUCUGACUUGGAACCUACAGUCUAUAGACAUCUCUUUUUCUCUAUAAUAACCUUCACCUGUUUUCACUUCCUUUUGUCUCCUGCUGUGAGCUAUAUUAAAUAAUGUUACUACUUUCUUGCAGGGAGCCACAACCAUCUUCCCAUGUUGUUCUUCUAUCACACUUGCCUAACAAAACACCAAAUCCAACUGCAUGCUUGCACCCAGAUUGUUCAUUGUACCCAGAUAGAAAAAAGACUGAAGUGCAGAUUGGCUUUUUAAAACUAUAAAUUCAGGAUCACAAACUUCAGCUAGAUCCCUCUCUCUCCAUGCUAUUGGAGGGCAGUGUUACAUCUUGUAAUGUAUUACUCUCUACCAUCCCCAUUUCAUAUGCUAUAUGCAUAAGUGUAGUAUUAUUAUGUAGUGUAAUUCUCCUUUGUGUACCCUAAUUUUUUUUUCUGCUUUUAUUUAUUUAUUUAUUUAUAUGUGGUGCUGAGGAUCGAACCCAGGGCCUCACGUGUGCUAGGUGAGCUCUCUACCACUGAGCCACAACCCAGCCCAUUCAUUGUUUUUUUUUUUAAUUUUUUGCCAAUAUUUAUUGUCUGUAUUUUUUUAGUAGUUGCUCAAGACAAUACAAUGAUCUUGACAUAUCAUACAUUUGAUUCAAAUAGGGUAUGAAUUCUCAUUUUUUCACAUGUACAAAUUGCAGGAUCACAUUGGUUAUACAUCCAUAUACAUACAUAUAGCAAUCCUAGUGUCAGUUGUAUUCUGCUGCCCUCCCUAUCCCCCCUCCCCUCCCCUCCCCUGCCAUCACUAUUCUCUACCCAUUCUACUGUGAUACUUAUCUCUCUCUUUUUUCUUCUUCUUCUCUUCCCCCUCACACCAUUGUAUAUAUAUUUUGUGAACCCAUGAGGGUCUCCUUCCGUCUUCCAUGCAAUUCCCCUUCUCCCUCCCUUUCCCUCCCAACUUUUUUCCUUGUUUCAUGGUAAUCUUCUUCUGAUGCUCUUCCUUCCUACUCUGUUUUGAGUCUCCCCCCUUAUAUCAGAGAAGACAUUCGGCAUUUGUUUUUUAGGGACUGGCUAACUUCGCUUAGCAUAAUCUGCUCUAGUGCCAUCCAUUUCCCUGCAAAUGCCCUAAAUUAAUUAAAUAGUCUGAAUCAUUUAGAAUAUCAUUUCUCCCCUCCCUCCAUCAAGUUAGCUUUUGUGCUUAUUUUCCUAUCGUUGGGGAUCUAAUUCAUCUGAUAAGAUACAUUUCUAAUAUUUUUUCAGUCAAAUAUCCCGAUGUGAGAUGAAAUAACAACUGAAGACAAUCAGUCUUACAGAUAGAGACGAAUGUAGAGAGACUUUAUAAAUUCAGGUAGUCUCUAGUUGUAAUUUAGUACCAGGAACCUUAAGCUGAGGUCCCUUUAGUCCCAUUCUUAUUUUUUCCAACUUCCUAAAAACACACUCUUCUCUUUUUUCCUAUAGUAGCAGGGAAAGCUGGGCUGCCUAGGUGAAGAUUAGUGAUCUGUACUGUUUGUAUGUUUAGGUCAUUUAUUAAAUGGCAGCAUAGCAUAAUUGUUGAGGUUAAGCUCUCAAGCCCAAUUUCCCUACUUACCUGCUUGUGUGACAUUGGGUAGGCUACUUUCUGUGCCUCAUUUGUCUUAUCUGUGUAAUAUAAAGAUGAUAAUACUAGUACUUCCCUCACCUGCUAUUGUGAGAAUUGAAUUACACAUUUUAAAUGAGUUAAUACCUUAGUCUGGUAAGCACUCAAUAACUAUAAGCUAUUAUUCAUAAUUUAGAAGCAACCUCUCUAUUUCCUAAAAUAUGCCUAUUCAUUAAUAAGAAGAGAGUAAUGAUGAAAGCUAGGAACUAUUAUUUCCAUUGAUAUAAAAAGUAGACUCUUAGAACUGCAAAAGAUCCAAGAAACUAUUUAGACCAUUGAGUCUUAAUCAGUAAUAUGUAUCACAAUCACUUAUGAGGUGUUGUCAAGAUAUAGUUACCCAGGCCCCCACUUCUUACAUCUAUUAAGUCAGAAAUGUCCACAGGCACGCCCAUUGUAGCCUUUCUGCUAAAACCCACUGUUAAGGCUUUAGAUUUUACAAUAAGCAAAUUGAGUCUCAAGAGUAAAUGAUUUGCCUAAGACCCCAUAGGGUAAAGCCCCUUAAGGGAUCCAAGUCACUUACCUCCUUGGUGAGUGAUCUUUCUAUUCUUUCAUGUUGCUUGCCCAAUAUAUUAACUUUUAAACUAAUAUAGGAGUUUAUCCUUCUUUUAGUAAUAUCAGGAAGUAUAGUAAAUGAUUUAAAACUGUAUUUUAACAACAUUUAAUUCAAAAUAACAAAAUUUAUUUUACAAGUCAUGCUGAGAACUAUUGCACAUUUACAAUAGGAUUUUAAAUGAAUUUUCCUGGGCUUUUCAUGUGAACAUUAGUCUUUGCCAUAAUGCUUGCUGCUAAUUAGUGCAAGAAAACACUGUGUGUGGCAAAAGAGCUGCUCAGUCCAACCUCUCAGACUGACAGGCAAACAAAUGUUUUAUAGGGUAAGGUAACUGUAGCUGUUUUGUAGCUUGAGAGCUUUCAAAAAUAAAAUAUGCACUUCUUCUAAUUAGGUGGGGUUUUUUAACCUUUGUGAAAUAUUCUUAGAAGUUUCUAGUCUAUGAAUAGUUAAUGCAGAAAAAUUAAUGGUGAUUAGGUACAGUGCUUUACCAAUUGGUAGAUCAAAAGACUAAAAACUAGAGCAAAAAAAAAAAAAAAAAGAAAAGAAAAAAGUUAGAGUUUUUAUAUUUGUAAUUGGGUGCUAUGAUAUUAUCUUUUAAUAUGUUUUUCUGUAUAAGUUAAAGAAAUAAAAUACAUUAGAAUUUGUAUGUGCACUUGUUCAAAUGUGUGAAGCAAAUUAGGUGACAGGGCAAAAGCAAGAAAAUGGAAUUCAAAUUAAAUCCACAUCUCAGAGCAGGUUCUAUUUAAUUUCUCCAUAUUUGCUAUUAUAAAUAUUUUAUUUUCAUGUAUGAGUUUCUUGCUAGAGAUGAUAAGUGGCUGCCAACCUAACUUCUAAUUCUUAGACACACAUUUUACCAACAAACCCACUCACUUUAGUAUAUGCUAUGUACAGGGCCCCAAAAAGUCUACCAUCCCAGAUCUCCUUUAGCUGUUAUUCAAGUAGUAUUAUUUCUUUUGUGUUUCUACCUGACGCUUCAUCUUGGGUUCAGUCUUUGGAUCUUUUUACUCGAAGCUUGUGUUUGGCUUCCUGAUAUUUAAAUCUCUGCUCAACCUGAUUGUCUUUGAUUUAGAUUCACUUCUUCACAGCUUAGAACCCACUGAUUACAGCAGUUCACAAAUCCCUGGCACAACCACUGACUGACUACCUCAAGAGGAAAGAUCUGUCCCAAAUACAAGCCCUGUAUUAUAUACAUCCAUUUAUUCAUCUGCUCCACAGAUUUUUGCUCAUUAUCUACUGUGUAUAAGGCACUGUAGAAGUUUUUUGCAGAUAAGAAUAACUACAGAAACUCCUUAAGGUCCUUAAAAUCUAUAGGACAAAUAAUAUCAUGAUAAUUUAAGAUAAUGUGCUCAAUUAUUAUGAAGUUAUAUAUACAAACAGGGGAGUAAUUAACAAAAGCUUCUAAUAGAAAGAUUCUUAACCAGGAAGUUAAGGAGCAUGAGGUGUGAGGGGGCAUUAUCAACUAGAACCCGGAUUAUUGGGUUAUAGAUUGAAAAAGACUAAGAACACUGACAGAUGGCAACUUAACUAGACUUUGAACUCAGGGUAGGGGAGACACCAUGGGACAAAUAUAGUCCAAAAAAUGGAACCAGUAAGGUCACAAAAAGCUUACAUUGUGUUAAACCUUAUUUGUCCAGACUAAUUGACAGUGUGAGGAGUGACAGCAAACCUAGGAAAAUUGAUUAGAACCAGGUCAUGGAAGGUUUUGAAUACUGAAGAGUUUAGAGUUGGGAGGCAUGUAUUGGGGAAUCCAGAUAUUAUGAGAAGGAAAUGAUGAUUGAGUUGAUUGAGUGGUAUACAGGAAGGAUUUGGUGGUGGGGAAAAAGGCAGGCAGAGACUGAAGACAAAGUAGUGAGGGCCAAGAGGUGAAGACUUUAUUCAUUUCUAAGUAUCUGACAUGUGUGAGGCACUGUGUUGGUGCUGAGGACACAAUGAGGACUUGGUCCUUGCUAUGAGGGAGUUUUCAGUGUAGUGAGAGACAUUACUAUCUUAAAGGCUUUAAGAGGGGUGUUUAUGCAAAAUUUUAGUACUCCACUUCUGACCUUUGCCUGGGUGGUAGGGGAUUAAGUCCUUAUUUUAUAAUGACAUAUAUUCCCUACCCUCUGAAAUUACUUUUAUAUUUUUGAAUUGGCUAAGGCAAAAUUAUCCCAACUACCUCCAUAUAAAUAAAAGUAAUUUAUUAUCCAAAAUGAGUUAAGAUAAUAAUACUGCACCAGACAGCCAAAGAAGAAAAUGUCAUAUCUUAAAGAGAUAACUGAAGAUCAUGUGGAGAGCAAACUGGAGAUUUUUUUUUAAGGGCAAGAAAACCAGUUAGGAGGCUGUUGUAGUAAUCCACCUAUUUGAUUGUGAGUACCUCAACCAAGACUGUAUGAAAAGAAAAGGAGUCCUUUGUGACUACUUUUACCAUAAUUCUUUGUAUCAUUCCUCAGGUACAAAUAGGGGAUGGAUAGGUGACUCUGGCUUGGAUUCAAACAGAGAGUGUCAAAAACCUAAGAAACACUCAAUUUACUUCUUCAGACUUAGAAGUAAUGCUCUUACAGUCAAGUAGUCUCUUUUCUGGGUGAUUUCUUACUUGGAGCAUGGUUCUGCAACCUUAACCUUGACCUGAUUCUGUGAGCUACCUGAUAAAUUCUUGGUUUUACUAUAGUUGACCCAAAUUGGUUCCUAGGACUUUUGGUCAAAACCCCCAAUCAACACUGUAAAUGAUAUUUAAGAAUGGACUUAUGGAAAAUGUUUGACAGUUUGAAAUAUGGAACUAGAAGUGUGGUUCUCAAGGUGUGGUCACUGAUGCAAGAUCAGUAUCACCUGACAACUUGGUAGAAAUGCAGAUUCUCAGGACCUAACCCAGACUUUUGGAAUAUAAAUCUCUAGGAGUGGGGACCUAGCAAUCUGAAUAUUAACAAGCAUUGAUGCUGCUAACUUAAGACUGGAACCUCUAUAACUAUGGGCCAAAAUAAACCUCUUAACUUUGUAUGUUAAUUGCAUCAGGUUUUUAAUUAUAGUGAUGGAAAGCUGACUAAGACAAUAGAUCAGAGAAUUAACCUGUAAAAAGGAGGACACUUCUGGGAAUGGAAAGAAGGGAAUUUGAUUUGAUUUGAUAUAGUAAAUUAAAAUACUAGAUAUCUAGUUAAAGUUUAAUUUUAGAUAAAGAGUGAAUACUUUUUUAGUAUUAUUAAGUAUGUCUCUCUCACGCAAUAUUUGGUACAUUUCGUGUUUUAUCUUAAAUAUAAAUUGACUAUUUCUAUGAUAUGAUAUUUGGUAUAUACUUAUACAGUAUUCCUUGAUUAUUUGAAGUUCCAGUUUAACUGGGUAUCCUGUAUUUUAUCUGAAAACCCUACUUUGGAUAGUUUUAAAAAUAAAUCCAUGGGCUGGGGAUGUGGCUCAAGCGGUAACUCGCUCGCCUGGCAUGUGCGAGGCAAUGGGUUCGAUCCUCAGCACCACAUAAAAAUAAAGAUGUUGUGUCCACCAAAAACUGAAAAAUAAAUAUUAAAAAAUAUUCUCUCCCCCCCCCUCCUUAAAAUAAAUAAAUAAAUAAAUCCAUGGUGAAAUAAUCUGAAAAGGAAUACAAAAGUAUACUGGGGGAUUUAGUCCUGGAAAAAAAAAAUUGGAACAGCUGUUCUGGAUGCUGAGUUGUAGUGGAUACCCAGUUAAAAACAGGCAGCAUGAUUUUUUUUUUUCUUGGAUUAAAUCAGCAGUAAUGUUUCACUUGUUGGAAGAAGUAAUAGAGAUUUCUAUUACAGGGACCCUUUUAUUUGACUUCAGGAGAGCCGUGGGCAGGAGAUUCAGGCGUAAUUGAAAUGAUUAGGGUCCAAGCUGUUCAGGAAGGCAGUUGAAAUCAGAAAAGUAAUUGGCAAAGACUUGAGAGUCUAGCAGUCACAACGAGUCAGAGAAGUGAAAGUUCACAAACAAACUAAUAAUUUAUAGCCUUAGAAGAAUAGUUCUAUAUAAUAAUGGGGUUAAAAAUCUUAUUUCAUAUUAUAGAACUAGAGCUAAAUUAAAAGUAACAGCUCUGAAGAUAGGAUCUGGUUUUGAAUUCUGGUUGUGUGAUCUUGGUCAAUUAAUUUAACUUCCUUCUGCCUUAGCUUUUAUUUGUAAAAUGGGAAUAAUAUUCUUACUUCAUAUACUUCAUAGGUUUAUUGUUCAGAGUAAGUGAAACAAGCCUUGUGAAAUAACUAGUACAAUAUGUUUGUUGGAUAGUAAGCCCUCAAAUAUUUGUGCUUUUUUUAAACUAUUUUAAAUAUAAUUAAAUAUAUCUAUAGUCAAUAAAUGUAAGUGACUUAGAGAAUGUUAUUUUAAAGAAAAAUGGUGUGGUAUACAUUGUGAAUUUCCUCCUUAGAUAGAAAAUGUUGUUUGGUAAAUACAUACACAAUUAUCUACCUGUCAAAGUUGAAACCCAUGCAUUUAAGGUUGUUUUCUUAACUCUUAAGAAAAUAAUUAUGCUCAAGCCAUAUCUGUCUCAUUUGCCCCUAGGUGACCAUGCUUUGGGAUUUUCAUAGUUUGAAUAAUUCCUAUGGGCUCUGCCACCCACCAAGUUAAAGAAGACAAGAUUUCUCCCAGGGGGUUGUAUUGUGGGAAUGUGAGCAGCUUGUUUUAAUGAGAUCUGUGUCUUCGUCUUGUCUCCUGUUAGGAGCUCUGGCGGUGGUUAUAUUGUUUUUGAUUGUUGUUUCUUACAUCUUUCUCAGAUUUUUAAAUUUAUUUACAUAUAAAGAAAUGUUUUUGAAAAAUGAAUGUUUUAUGGGGACAUUUUGCUUAUACAAAGAAGAAUUAAAGCUAUUUUAAAGUAAUUA
rnacentral:lncRNA from 1 species